rnacentral:rRNA from 1 species
GACGAACGCUGGCGGCGUGCUUAACACAUGCAAGUCGAACGGAAAGGCCCUGCUUUUGUGGGGUGCUCGAGUGGCGAACGGGUGAGUAACACGUGAGUAACCUGCCCUUUACUUUGGGAUAACUUCAGGAAACUGGGGCUAAUACCGGAUAGGAGCUCCUGCUGCAUGGUGGGGGUUGGAAAGUUUCGGCGGUUGGGGAUGGACUCGCGGCUUAUCAGCUUGUUGGUGGGGUAGUGGCUUACCAAGGCUUUGACGGGUAGCCGGCCUGAGAGGGUGACCGGCCACAUUGGGACUGAGAUACGGCCCAGACUCCUACGGGAGGAAGCAGUGGGGAAUAUUGCACAAUGGGCGGAAGCCUGAUGCAGCAACGCCGCGUGCGGGAUGACGGCCUUCGGGUUGUAAACCGCUUUCGCCUGUGACGAAGCGUGAGUGACGGUAAUGGGUAAAGAAGCACCGGCUAACUACGUG